rnacentral:rRNA from 1 species
GACGAACGCUGGCGGCGUGCUUAACACAUGCAAGUCGAACGGAAAGGCCCUGCUUUUGUGGGGUGCUCGAGUGGCGAACGGGUGAGUAACACGUGAGUAACCUGCCCUUGACUUUGGGAUAACUUCAGGAAACUGGGGCUAAUACCGGAUAGGAGCUCCUGCUGCAUGGUGGGGGUUGGAAAGUUUCGGCGGUUGGGGAUGGACUCGCGGCUUAUCAGCUUGUUGGUGGGGUAGUGGCUUACCAAGGCUUUGACGGGUAGCCGGCCUGAGAGGGUGACCGGCCACAUGGGGACUGAGAUGCGGCCGAGACUCCUACGGGAGGCAGCAGUGGGGAAUAGUGCACAAUGGGCGGAAGCCUGAUGCAGCAGCGCCGCGUGCGGGAUGACGGCCUUCGGGUUGUAAACCGCUUUCGCCUGUGGCGAAGCGUGAGAGACGGUAAGGGGUAAAGAAGCACCGGCUAACUGCG